UACGGAGGGUGCAAGCGUUAUCCGGAUUCACUGGGUUUAAAGGGUGCGUAGGUGGGUCUGUAAGUCAGUGGUGAAAUCUCCGGGCUUAACCCGGAAACUGCCAUUGAUACUAUUAGUCUUGAAUACCGUGGAGGUCAGCGGAAUAUGUCAUGUAGCGGUGAAAUGCUUAGAUAUGACAUAGAACACCAAUUGCGAAGGCAGCUGGCUACACGAGCAUUGACACUCAGGCACGAAAGCGUGGGGAUCAAACAGG
rnacentral:rRNA from 1 species